AGGUAGCGAAAUUCCUUAUCGGGUAAGUUACGACCCGCACGAAAGGCGUAACGCUUUGGGCACUUUCUCAACGAGAGACUCGGUGAAAGCAUAGUACCUGUGAAGAUGCAGGCUACCCGCGACACGACGGAAAGACCCCCUGGAGCUUUACUUUAGCCUUAUAUCGACAUUUGGCACAGCUUGACCAUGAUAGGUAGGAGCCUUUGUAACGUGAGCGCUAGCUUAAGUGGAGGCGCUGGUGGGAU
rnacentral:rRNA from 1 species